AUGAGUAAAGUGGCGCACGGGUGAGUAACACGUGACUAACCUACCCUUGAGUGGGGAAUAACUUCGGGAAACCGAGGCUAAUACCGCAUAACACCUACGGGUCAAAGGAGCAAUUCGCUUAAGGAGGGGGUCGCGGCAGAUUAGUUAGUUGGCGGGGUAAUGGCCCACCAAGACAGUGAUCUGUAUCCGGCCUGAGAGGGCGCACGGACACACUGGAACUGAAACACGGUCCAGACUCCUACGGGAGGCAGCAGUGGGGAAUUUUGCGCAAUGGGGGAAACCCUGACGCAGCAACGCCGCGUGGAGGAUGAAGUCUCUUGGGACGUAAACUCCUUUCGAUCGGGACGAUAAUGACGGUACCGAGAGAAGAAGCCCCGGCUAACUUCGUGCCAGCAGCCGCGGUAAUACGAGGGGGGCGAGCGUUGUUCGGAAUUAUUGGGCGUAAAGGGUGCGUAGGCGGUUCGGUAAGUCUUGUGUGAAAUCUUCGGGCUCAACUCGAAGUCUGCACUAGAAACUGCCGGGCUUGAGUGUGGGAGAGGUGAGUGGAAUUUCCGGUGUAGCGGUGAAAUGCGUAGAUAUCGGAAGGAACACCUGUGGCGAAAGCGGCUCACUGGACCACAACUGACGCUGAGGCACGAAAGCUAGGGGAGCAAACAGGAUUAGAUACCCUGGUAGUCCUAGCCCUAAACGAUGAUCGCUUGGUGUGACGGGUACCCAAUCCC
rnacentral:rRNA from 1 species